rnacentral:lncRNA from 1 species
AAUUGCUGAGAUGGAAUGUCAAAACAGAUACAAUAAAAAAGGCAUCACCUCAUUUGUCUUAUUAUUUUUCAGAUUGUUCAAUGCUUCAUGUUGCAUCAUGACCCAGCAGAAGGAACCAGUCUGAAUUGGAAAGGGAGAGGUUCCCAGAGCUCAACAAACAUAUUUUCAAUUCCAGAGAUCCUCAACCAGUAUUCCCCCAUUUUAAACUUCAUAAUCAGACAACAUACAAUGUAGCCAGGGAACCUGUAGUCAUGUUGAGCCAGAAAGAAGAUGAGUGCUGCUAUGACUGUGAGGAAGAACUGUGGCAUGGAUGAGAGAAAUCCUACCUUGUAUGGGAAUUCAAACACACUCUUUGUAUACUCUGACAGUGAGUCACUUGGACCUCAAAUGUUAGCUUUUGGGUACUGCUUCUGGAGGAAUUUUCAAACUUCUGUUUUAUGGAAGAAGCACAGGUCUCCUCAAGUCUGCUCAACCAUCUGA